AAGGAUCAUUACCGAGUUAGGGUCUUCUAGGCCCGAUCUCCAACCCUGUGUAUAUAUAACUUCGUUGCUUUGGCAGGCCUGUCUUUGACCAGACUGUCGGAGGUCAUCUCGACCGCCGGAGAGUGCCUGUCAGUAGCCCCCCAUUUUAAAUUCUUGAAUAAUCGUGGCGUCUGAGUUGAGACAACAAAUAGUUAAAACUUUCAACAACGGAUCUCUUGGUUCUGGCAUCGAUGAAGAACGCAGCGAAAUGCGAUAAGUAAUGUGAAUUGCAGACCUUGUGAAUCAUCGAAUCUUUGAACGCACAUUGCGCCCAUUGGUAUUCCGAUGGGCAUGCCUGUUCGAGCGUCAUUAUUUCAACGUCAAGCCUGGCUUGCUAUUGGACUCGCUGUCCGGCUAAAGGACACGUCCCAAAGAUAAUGACGGUGUCGAGUGUG
rnacentral:misc_RNA from 1 species